rnacentral:lncRNA from 1 species
AAGCGACACGUGGCACAUCUCCUUACAAAAUGAAUCUAUCAUAGCGGCUGUUUUCAGAGGCUUUCCGAAACAGAGUGUGAUCUGGAACAAAUUGUGAAGCCCACGAGCCUGGUGAAACAUUCAUUAUUGAGCACCUGCUGUAUACCUCCUUGAGCUGAGGAGAAGGAUCAAGAGCUCAUGGCCAAGAGGGGACCAGGCCCACCCACAAACACUGUUGAUGUGCGGCCCUGAGCUGCGGCAGGGAUGUGGCAACGCAGAAAGGAACCAGGUGGCACAGAAUGUGGUCCUGUACACAGGCGACUCCAACCUGGGGCUGGAGCCGUUUGAGGCAGCUGGAGAUAUCUUCAACGAGGCCUGGGCGUGGGAGAAAGCCGUGUCCUUCUACCGGGACCGGGCCCUGCUCCUGGCAGUGACUAUGGAAACCGCAAGGUGGAGCUGCAGCUGCAGCUGUACAACAAGCUGGUGGCACUGCUGGCCACGCUGGAGGAGCCCCAGGAGGGCUUGGAGGUUGCCCACAUGGCCCUAGCACUCAGCAUCACUCUGGGGGACUGGCUGAAUGAGCACGUCGCCUACCACUGGCUGGCCGCCCUGCACCACUUGCUGGGCCAUGGCAAGCUGGCGGAGCACUUCUACCUCAAGGCCCUGUAGCUCUGCAACUCGCCGCUGGAGUUUGAUGAGGAGACCCUCUACUACGUGAAGGUGUACCUGGUGCUCGGUGACAUCAUCUUCUAUGACCUGAAGGUCAGUAGGGAGGGACAGGGCUCGGGGUGUUUCCAGCCCCCUUGGAGUGGGAUCUCCACCCAGAGUCCAGGUGCCUGGGUUCCAGCCUUCCUUAGGAAUGGCCCAGUGGCCUCCCUGGAGCUCUGCACAUGGCUGGAGGAACCGGCAAGGUUCCCAGAUACAACCCAGCUCCCAAGCUGGCCAGGCCCCACCCUCAAGAACUCAGUCUCAGCCUGGGAGGCUGACACAUGAGGGAGCAAUGGUGGCCUCUGGGUAAAGAAGGGGGAUUGUAGUCAGGGGGGCCCUGCUUGAGGAGGUGACACCAAACUGAGUCUUGACAGUCAAGUGUCAAGUUGCAUUUAACAAAACAGGGUCAGGAGAAGGACAUUUUGGAGGACGGCAUCAUCCUCACAUUGAAUCCACAUUGUAAGAUCCAACCCAAAUCCCAGUGCCUCCUCUAGGAAGCCUGCCCAGGGUGCGAGCCUGCACUGAGCAACUCCUUCCUGG